AUUUUUUCCUCCUGUUUCGAGCUCUGCAAUAUCAGCUUGUCCUUUCUCAACUAGGAAGAAGAUGUUGUCACUAACAGAUGAUUUAAAGUGGAUCCAACUGAAUUGUUUCGUUGAGGCGAAGCCCCACCACACCGGGAUCCUUAUUAUCACGUGAAGCAGCGAAGGAGGAAGGAACGUCGUCCUUGGGCGGUAACAGAGGAGCUGAUGAAGUCCUGUUUCUGAAAGCCUUGUCUCCUAAGACGGAAAACCUGGAGAGAGUACCUCAGUUUUCACUGAUGCUCACAAUAAGAUACCAAACACACACACACACACACACACACACACACACACACACACACACACACACACACACACACAGCAAGACUUCACGAGUAAGGCUUAUCCCCACGAUAAGCAUGUCACCUGCCUGCCUGCCUGCCUGCCUUCCUCACUUCCCUUUUCUCCCCCGGGUUUUAAACGCGACCCUCAGCCCACUAAAUCGACUCCUUCAUAUGAAGACGUGGCAACCCCUGCGCUCUGAAAAACACUCCGUGGUUUGCCCUUUUAUUUCUCUCACCCUGUAACUCAAUAUUAGAGUGAUUCUGAAUUGAGGACAAGCCUGAUGAGUUUGAGGCGUGGGAUAAAGGAAUCCGACCAGCUCUGAGCUCAUUGUGUUUUUAAACCUUGCUCUGUGUGUUCAUUCUCGCCACAGCGAGGAUGCU
rnacentral:lncRNA from 1 species